rnacentral:rRNA from 1 species
AAUAGAUACCCUGGUAGUCCACGCCGUAAACGAUGAGUACUAGGUGUAGGAGGGUCCAACCUUCUGUGCCGCAGUUAACACAAUAAGUACUCCGCCUGGGAAGUACGAUCGCAAGAUUAAAACUCAAAGGAAUUGACGGGGGCCCGCACAAGCAGCGGAGCAUGUGGUUUAAUUCGAAGCAACGCGAAGAACCUUACCUGGACUUGACAUCCCCCGAAUAGUGCAGAGAUGCAUGAAGCCCUUCGGGGCAGGGAGACAGGUGGUGCAUGGUUGUCGUCAGCUCGUGUCGUGAGAUGUUAGGUUAAGUCCUGCAACUAGCGCAACCCCUAUCAUUAGUUGCUACCAUUAAGUUGAGCACUCUAGUGAGACUGCCCGGGUUAACCGGGAGGAAGGUGGGGAUGACGUCAAAUCAUCAUGCCCCUUAUGUCCAGGGCUACACACGUGCUACAAUGGUAGGUACAGAGAGAUGCAAGACCGCGAGGUGGAGCAAAACUCAAAAACCUAUCCCAGUUCGGAUUGUAGG